GUAGUUCAGAGGAGCAAUGGUUUUUGUAAAAGCCUGUUUUGUAAAAGAACACUGGAAUGUUUAGUUCCUCUCCAGCCCACUUUGGUCCGGGAAGCAGCAGGGAUGCAUGCAGUGCCUGCGAAGAGCUCUGGGCACCCCUGAAUUGGUGGGGAGGGGAGCCAGUGCAGGCACUGCCCAGGAACUGUGGUGGAGGGGAGGAUGCAUCAGCCCUGGCCACAGGGCUCCCCCUGAAGAACUUCUACCUGUCCCCACAGCUAAGGGUGCGCUGAUUCUGUGAGUGCUUCCAAGUUUUUCCUACAUCUUAAACUUCAGAAAGAAAUGUGAACUUAAUCUGUGAUUAAGCUUAAACUUAAUGUGAAUUUUUCUUCAUUGGAACAUGUUGUAUUUCCUAGAUGUUGGCUCUAAAUUUGGCAAAAUAAAUCCACUGGAUAUGACUAUAACUGUGAUGACUCAACUAAUUUUAUAUACCAUUAUUAUCCUAUUCAGGGAGACUGAGCAACUUGAAUUUUUAGUAUUUAGCUAAGUAGUCAAUAUAUACUUGUAUGUUUUAGUUAAUACUCAUUCACAUGUAUAUAAAUAUACAGUCCUUUUUUUUUAAUCUUCAAGUUAAGAAACUAACACAUUCUUUUAACCAUGUUAUUUACAGAACUUGAGAAAAUUUCAUGAUCUGAGCAACUGCUGCAGCUUGUUGUAGCAGUGAAGGGUUAAGGCACUAACAGAAACUCGAGUACUUCUCUAAUUUAUAGAAGAAGCUAACAUAUGGGAUUCCUUCUACUGAAGAUCUUGCAACUCUGGAAAUAUUACAGAGGCUUUGCAGUAGAAACUGCCAUAUGCCAGAAAUUCAGCUGAAUGCUUCUUGGAUUUCUCUGUCUGAACACCAUGGAGAUGAUGUCUGUCACAAUUGUACAGCUGCUGCAAGUGAUGGUGUGAUAAUUUCCAAAGCUGUUUGUGACUGAAAAUUAAGUGAAGUUGUGACAUACCUGGAACAGUCUUACUUCAGUGACCUAAACUACUUACCUCUGAGAGGUCUGUGAAGAAUACAACACUUACUGUUCUGUCAGGUCUCUGCAACAUGAUUCUUACAUUGAGAUGGAUUUUGCAGGAAAUGGAGCAAAGCAAACAGAAAAGAGUGGCAGGGUGUUAAUUGCAACCUGAUAAUUAAAGUGAAGCAUAGUCAAGGAACAGAUAUCCUCCCAGCUUUCAGCAUGAAAAUGAUGAUGGGCAGCAUCUCUGGACGCUCAGCACUGUUUAGAUAACCCUGGGAAGCUGCAGCAGGGAGAGCCUCAGUGACACACAAGUCUGCGUCUGAGAGCACACAUUAUCAGAUUUCGUUGUGACUCACAGAGGUAGUGGUUAAACUCCUCUUCUCCUGGCACGACCUCCCCACUUCAAGCAUGUUUUUUUAUGGAAGAAUAUAAAUUUGUGAACUCAUGAGUUUAUAUCCAGUCAGCAAGAUGGACCACUAAACUUGAGAACACUACAGAAAAUACAAUAGACAUGAAAGCCUGAAGAGCAUA